UAUCCUUCUCAGCGUUCAGGCUAAGAUCAAGUUUAGUAUCUGUUCUUAUCAGUUUACUAUCUGAUACAUCCUCUAUCACUGAUACUCUUGUGUGAAUAAUGAACUCAAUUGUUUUUGAGGUGAUGAUUCCAAAUACCUAUAAACUUGGAAUCACCUAAAUUUUUGCUUUGCUUCUUUAGACCACAU